UACAGAGGGUGCGAGCGUUAUUCGGAAUUACUGGGCGUAAAGCGUGCGUAGGCGGUUAUUUAAGUCGGGUGUGAAAGCCCCGGGCUCAACCUGGGAAUUGCAUUCGAGACUGAAUAGCUAGGGUACGGUAGAGGGAAGUGGAAUUUCCGGUGUAGCGGUGAAAUGCGUAGAUAUCGGAAGGAACAUCAGUGGCGAAAGCGACUUCCUGGACCAGUACCGACGUUCAGGCACGAAAGCGUGGGGAGCAAACAGG
rnacentral:rRNA from 1 species